rnacentral:rRNA from 1 species
GCAGCCGCGGUAACACGUAAGUUGCGAGCGUUGUUCGGAAUUAUUGGGCGUAAAGGGCAUGUAGGCGGUUCUGAAAGCUUGGUGUGAAAUUCCGGGGCUCAACUCCGGAACUGCAUUGAGAACUGCAGGACUAGAAUUACUGAAGGGUAGCUAGAAUUCCAAGUGUAGGGGUGAAAUCUGUAGAUAUUUGGAAGAAUACCAAUGGCGAAGGCAAGCUACUGGCAGAUAAUUGACGCUGAGGUGCGAAGGUGCGGGGAGCAAACAGGAUUAGAUACCCC